GGAAGGAUCGCAUAGUGGUCGAGUGCGCGCGCUUGGAAAGCGCGUAAGGUGUAAAAGCCUUCGAGGGUUCAAAUCCCUCUCCUUCCG
rnacentral:tRNA from 1 species